rnacentral:rRNA from 1 species
UACGAAGGGGGCUAGCGUUGUUCGGAAUUACUGGGCGUAAAGCGCGUGUAGGCGGGCCUUUAAGUCAGGGGUGAAAUGCCAGGGCUCAACCUUGGAACUGCCUUUGAUACUGGAGACCUUGAGUCCGGGAGAGGUGAGUGGAAUUGCGAGUGUAGAGGUGAAAUUCGUAGAUAUUCGCAAGAACACCAGUGGCGAAGGCGGCUCACUGGCCCGGAACUGACGCUGAGACGCGAAAGCGUGGGGAGCAAACAGG